AGAUUGAACGCUGGCGGCAUGCCUAACACAUGCAAGUCGAACGGGAGUAGCAAUACUCUAGUGGCGGACGGGUGAGGAAUACGUAGGAAUUUGCCCUUAAGUGGGGGAUAACCCGGGGAAACCCGGAUUAAUACCGCAUGACCUCGAAAGAGCAAAGUGGGGGAUCGCAAGACCUCACGCUUUUGGAGAAGCCUACGUCGGAUUAGCUAGUUGGUGAGGUAAUGGCUCACCAAGGCGACGAUCCGUAACUGGUCUGAGAGGAUGAUCAGUCACACCGGAACUGAGACACGGUCCGGACUCCUACGGGAGGCAGCAGUGGGGAAUA
rnacentral:rRNA from 1 species